rnacentral:rRNA from 1 species
GUAGUCUCGCACAGAUGCAUAUCAAUAAGCGGAGGAAAAGAAACUAACAAGGAUUCCCCUAGUAACGGCGAGUGAAGCGGGAAGAGCUCAAAUUUGAAAUCUUAAAGGGUUUCCCUUUACGAAUUGUAGUUUAAAGAAGUGUUUUCUGUUGAGGUUUUGGUAAAAGUUCUUUGGAAUAGGACAUCAUAGAGGGUGAGAAUCCCGUAUUUGACCUUUACUUUCAACUUUGUGAUACACUUUCAAAGAGUCGGAUUGUUUGGGAAUGCAGUCCAAAAUGGGUGGUAAAUUUCAUCUAAAGCUAAAUAUUGGCGAGAGACCGAUAGCGAACAAGUACCGUGAGGGAAAGAUGAAAAGAACUUUGAAAAGAGAGUUAAACCAGUACGUGAAAUUGUCAAAAGGGAAGCGUUUGACACCAGUGUUGUUUUUCUGAAAAUCAAUUAAAGAACUGUUUAUGCUAAGCUGUUUAGACUUUAUCAGCUAACUGCUUUAGUUUUGAGCUUUUCUUUAAUGCACUUUUCAGUUAACAAGUCAACAUCAAUUUCUUUUGCUGUAAAAAAGCUUGAGGAAGGUGGCUUGAGAUUCGUCUUAAGUGUUUAUAGCCUCUUGCCUAUGCAGUCGGAGAGAUUGAGGUCUGCAGCGUAGAUCCUUCGGGGCUAAAUGCAUUUGUGCUAAGUUAUAACAUUUUAUAGACAACUUGUUGACUAUGAUUUGUCUUGUAGCUUACUCGCUUAUGUUAUUUUACCUACGCUUAGGAUGUUGAUCUGUAGUGCGUGCGC